rnacentral:rRNA from 1 species
AUUGAACGCUGGCGGCAGGCCUAACACAUGCCAGUCGAGCGGAUGAAGGGAGCUUGCUCCUGGAUUCAGCGGCGGACGGGUGAGUAAUGCCUAGGAAUCUGCCUGGUAGUGGGGGAUAACGUCCGGAAACGGGCGCUAAUACCGCAUACGUCCUGAGGGAGAAAGUGGGGGAUCUUCGGACCUCACGCUAUCAGAUGAGCCUAGGUCGGAUUAGCUAGUUGGUGGGGUAAAGGCCUACCAAGGCGACGAUCCGUAACUGGUCUGAGAGGAUGAUCAGUCACACUGGAACUGAGACACGGUCCAGACUCCUACGGGAGGCAGCAGUGGGGAAUAUUGGACAAUGGGCGAAAGCCUGAUCCAGCCAGGCCGCGUGUGUGAAGAAGGUCUUCGGAUGGUAAAGCACUUUAAGUUGGGAGGAAGGGCAGUAAGUUAAUACCUUGCUGUUUGGACGUUACCAACAGAAUAAGCACCGGCGAACUGCGG